ACUACUUCUUCGAUUCUUGAUGAAAGAGCCACUGUCUCCUUCUCUUUAUAACAGCGCCAUCUGCCGGACUUUAGAACGACCAACUAGUUGUUUUUUUGCACAUCGCUUGGAAUAUGCGUUGCUAAGCGACAGCAUCAGGAGUGGGAGUGAGGAGAGAGCAUGCAUGCAGCAACAGAGGAUGCAAGGUCCAUCCCUCCCCCGUGUCAUCGAUGGCCAGCCAGCGUACACGGUGAGACGCCUCCUGAGGGUUUGACCACGGGGCAGGGGUUCCCGCUAAAGACAUCCUGGACCUGGCCCUCAUCACCGUCUUUCACCGCCGGCACCCCAGUCAACCAGGUAUCCGCCCAGGUGGAACACCAGGUGACGGCCUUAAGAGGGGGGGUACUGGCAUGCCCUGAUCUGUUUCACCUGUCUCUGUGUUUGUCUCCACCCCCUCCAGGUGUCGCCCAUC